rnacentral:rRNA from 1 species
UACGAAGGGGGCUAGCGUUGCUCGGAAUCACUGGGCGUAAAGCGCACGUAGGCGGAUUGUUAAGUCAGGGGUGAAAGCCUGGAGCUCAACUCCAGAACUGCCCUUGAUACUGGCAAUCUCGAGUCCGGAAGAGGUAAGUGGAACUCCGAGUGUAGAGGUGAAAUUCGUAGAUAUUCGGAAGAACACCAGUGGCGAAGGCGGCUUACUGGUCCGAUACUGACGCUCAGGUGCGAAAGCGUGGGGAGCAAACAGG